rnacentral:rRNA from 1 species
AAGCUCGUAGUUGAAUUUCGAGAUCAAUUUUCUUGGUCAUACCUUAUUGUAUGUACUGGUCUUAUUGAUUUCUCCCUUCUGAUGAACCAUGAUGUCAUUAAUUUGGUGUUAUGGGGAAUCAGGACUAUUACUUUGAAAAAAUUAGAGUGUUUAAAGCAGGCUCACGCUUGAAUACAUUAGCAUGGAAUAAUGAAAUAGGACGUUUGAUUCUAUUUUGUUGGUUUCUAGGAUUGACGUAAUGAUUAAUAGGGAUAGUUGGG